CCACCGCUCUACAUACCCUAACUCUCAUCGUUUCAUCAGUUUUAAUUUUUUCAUCUUUCUCCAUACCCAGUUCUCCAAAAACACUAAGAGAUUCAUGGAAUUAGGAUUUGGAUCUGUAUUUUCAGCGUGAUUCUUAUAAAUUGGGAAGCGGAAUUUGCUUUUCUCUCAUUCCUUUGUGCUAGUUAGUAAUUAUUCAAAGAUCUGGUCUUCACUUUUUGAGUUAUGCCUGUCCUUAUUAUGCCGUAUUAUUUUGCUAGAUACAACGUUGCUUUAGAGGUCAAUGAAUUUAUCCAGGUUUCUCAAACUUGCAUUGUUUUAUAAUCGAUGGAACUCUUGAUUUUCUACAUCAGUAUGUAUUUGGCAGCAUGAAGUACUUUAGUGUUGUGGACUAAGAAUUUCAGUACUCUUCAGCAAUGAAACCAGAGGAUGUUAUGACUAUUAUAUGUGUCAAGUCUACAAAUUAAUCAAGUCAUUCCAUGAAGACGUUAAAUUAGCUCCAAUUCAAUAGAGAGAAGUUGCGUGUUUUUCGAAAUAGUGGUAGUAUUGCAACUAUGCAUUUUUAUUUAAUGUUAGCAGUUUAAGAGAUCAAAUGUCUUCUAAAUGAAUAUUAGUUUAAUAAUGUUAGAAUAUAAUCAUAGUUUUUUGCAUUAUUUUACAUAUGUAUACAUAUAAUAAUUUGUACUCUUGUUUAAUUAUGAAUAAAUUCAAUUUAUGGGUAAA